UUUUACAGGACCAUAACCUCCCCCCCUCGCCUUUCCCCCACAGGGUCCUAAAGGAGACACCGGCCCCAGAGGAGACAGGGGACUCCCCGGCCCCCUGGCAGAGAUGGCAUCCCUGGACAGCCUGGCCUCCCGGGACCCCCAGGCCCUCCAGGACCUCCAGGCCUCGGCGGAAACUUCGCUCCUCAAAUGUCUUACGGAUAUGAUGAGAAAUCGGGUGGCAUGGCGGUGCCCGGCCCCAUGGGCCCUGCUGGACCCCGUGGUCUCCCUGGUCCUCCUGGUGCUCCUGUGAGUAUCUCCUCCUCCUCCU